rnacentral:rRNA from 1 species
AUGGAUGUGAAUUGCAAGGGCCAUGUUACCACGUGGAGACAUCACCACACAGACACAGUUACAGUUAGGAUUCACAGUGUGUGCAGGCUCAUCACAUCAAUUCAUUCAUCUUCUUCCUCUUGGCAUUGUUCCUUUGUGCAUGCCCUAACAACAGUUGGGCUUGUCCUGGAAUGUGGAGUGGACGGACUCUUGGUUCUGGUCACAGUGGCCACAGUGCACACCGCACAGUGGCGCCUCCGUUCUCUUCUCCCAUGGCAGGGCAUGAGCAUGAGCACACUGUUGCAGGUACUGCGUGCUGCUGCUGCCUCCCAACGGAUCCGAUCCGGCCGCUUGUCUGCACCCCACACCCACAGGGCACACAUCUCCUUCUCAACAAUAAAAAACAUACCUAUUUCUCUGUCUUUUUUCUCUCUGGAUUUUCAAAAAAAAAAAAGAAAAAACGGUUACUCCCUCCCAUGA